CGAACGAAAAUUUACUGAAUAUGUUUUCAGUGAGUAUUUCUCGGUAUGUAUAUAGUUAAAACAUAUCCUUUAUCCAUAUAUGUACAGCUCCUGUUUACGCGCCUUAGAACAAUUAGAAAAAUCGCUCUACUAUCCGACUAAAGAAUGCUGAGAAUGCUUCGAUCUUGCCGUCGAUGGCGGCCUUUCAAACUGUUCAGUUUGUGACUCGUCGAUAUCUCACGGAUGACCUUCGAGCAAAGGAAACCCGACAGACAGAGUCCGUCCAAAUCGAAGCUGGAAAGGCAACGCAUAGACUACUCAUUGCGCAUCGGGGGAGGGGACGGGAGAUUUCGUUUCCAAGAUGGCGGCGCCUUGUUCCACAGGAAACCCAAAUCGACCCAAUGACCGCUCGUACCGGUGGAGAGUCACCACUCGAACCGGUGGAAAACUCCGUCUAACCACUCGUACCGGUGGAUAACCCCGUCCCACCAAUUGUGCCACCGGAUAACUCUGCUUUACGACUUGUACCACUGGAUAACUCUGCUGGAUAACUCUGCUUUACAUCCCGGGGGAUGUCUCGAUAGAGAAAGACAUGUCUUUUCGAGCUCCGCUAAAAACGUUGAAAUUUCUGGUUUUAUCUUGAAAAAACCGGAUAUACUGUGUUCAAUAUUGGUAAGUAAGGACAUGGGAAAGUCAGCUGAGAGUAAGGAGAAGAGAAAGCGGGUCAGUAGCUCGGGUAAAUCGGUAGAAGAAGACGGUAACGGUAACGGAAUACAAGGACCUCAUCAAAAGGUUAACUACUUUGGAAGACUCGCUAAA